UUUUUUCUUUUUCCUUUUUGAAGAAUAUAGUUCUAAGCCUAUAUAAGCUUUUACAUCUUGAGGUUUACUAAUCUCAUUUCUAUUCUCGGAAAUGAAAAUGUUUAAUUUGAGAAGGAAAUUUGUGAUUAUAGUCAUUGUAUGCAAAUGUACACAUCAAAUAACUGAGAUUGUUGCAGGAGCUUUACUUUCUAAUGCAGAGACACUGAUUCUGCGAGUACUAGUGAACACAAUUUGAAACCAUGAUAAGGUUGUGUUAUAUUUGCAACACAGAAGGAAAGGCAGAUGAACAUGACUACUAGAUUCUAUCUAAUCGUGGAAUUUGGGAUGUCCCAUCAGAUGAUAUGGCUUGCAGGAUAGCUUGCACGUCUUGGUCAUAAGGGAUACCUGCUAGCUUGAAGCAUCCACUGUGCUUCUGGUCCAAUCAACUACCUGCAAUCAGAUCAGAUGAAAUCUUGGAACAGAAACCAUGCAGCUCCGCCUUGCUUAUGGAUGUCAUAGUUAUUGAUUUGGAAAGAGACUCAAGAGAACAAAAUUAAAAUCACAGGGAGUUGGAACUCAGGACCUUAAUGGUACAUUGUGGCUUCUUUUUGCAGGGAAGUUCUUUGGUGUUUUUUCUGCUGAUCAUGUGGAGUUGCUUGCUGGUGUGCUACUUGCAUAGCAACAUGACUAGGCUAGUACUGAAUUGAGUGUCAUAGUAUGCUUUUGUGAUGAAUGUGGUGUCAGCAGAGACCUGAACCUUCCUUCUCGGGGCGGAAUGUGCCUUCUGUUCAAAUUUUUUCAGAUGGUUCAUAGAUCCGUUGGUCAGGUCAGUCAUAUUUAUCAAGAGGGGAAGGGAGAUGCACAUCAUAUAGCUACUGUUGGUUCUCUUCCUGUAGAGGACUAAUGGUUAGAUUGGUGCAUAACAAAAACAUUUCAAAUGUCAACAACAGAUUCUGAGAGAUAUUGUCCAAACGAGCUAAUGACAAAUAAUGCUGUCGAGUUCAGUAGUCUAAAGGGAUAUGGCUUGGCUGUGAUUGGGAGGGUUCCUUUGUUGACACCCAUGGCAGUGGAAAACAAGUAAGUACUUGAAAACAUAACGAACUAGGAUCGGUCAAGUUUAUGUUUCUGAUAUUCAAGGGCCUUCAGCCGGAUUUAUCAAACCAAAUGUUAAGUAACCAAGGCUUAGAAGACAGCCCUGAAAGUUAAAAUUAUACAUAUAUAUAGAAAGGCAGUUCUUUUUUCUCACUGUAACAGAGAGAAUUCAUUGAUUUUGUUAUUGGCUCUUUCAUUACUAUAAAAUUUCCAUUCCGAAUGAUGACCAGU